UGGGGAAUUUUGGACAAUGGGCGCAAGCCUGAUCCAGCCAUGCCGCGUGAGUGAAGAAGGCCUUCGGGUUGUAAAGCUCUUUCGGACGGGAAGAAAUGGCGGGCUCUAACAUAGCCUGUCGAUGACGGUACCGUAAGAAGAAGCACCGGCUAACUACGUGCCAGCAGCCGCGGUAAUACGGGGGGUGCGAGCGUUAUUCGGAAUUACUGGGCGUAAAGCGCGUGUAGGCGGCCUGGCAAGUCUGAUGUGAAAGCCCCGGGCUUAACCUGGGAAGUGCAUUGGAAACUGUCGGGCUUGAGUACUGGAGAGGAUGGGGGAAUUCCCGGUGUAGAGGUGAAAUUCGUAGAGAUCGGGAGGAAUAUCAGUGGCGAAGGCGCCCAUCUGGACGGUAACUGACGCUGAGACGCGAAAGCGUGGGGAGCAAACA
rnacentral:rRNA from 1 species